rnacentral:sRNA from 15 species
AAUAAAAGCCGGGAAAAAAUACUUGCCAACAACAACAGGAAUUUUGUGUUGCUCGCUCACUCGAAGAAAAGCAAGAUGCUCUUAUUCGUCACAUUAU